AGAGUUUGAUCAUGGCUCAGAGCGAACGCUGGCGGCAGGCUUAACACAUGCAAGUCGAGCGGGCGUAGCAAUACGUCAGCGGCAGACGGGUGAGUAACGCGUGGGAACGUACCUUUUGGUUCGGAACAACACAGGGAAACUUGUGCUAAUACCGGAUAAGCCCUUACGGGGAAAGAUUUAUCGCCGAAAGAUCGGCCCGCGUCUGAUUAGCUAGUUGGUAGGGUAAUGGCCUACCAAGGCGACGAUCAGUAGCUGGUCUGAGAGGAUGAUCAGCCACAUUGGGACUGAGACACGGCCCAAACUCCUACGGGAGGCAGCAGUGGGGAAUAUUGGACAAUGGGGGCAACCCUGAUCCAGCCAUGCCGCGUGAGUGAUGAAGGCCCUAGGGUUGUAAAGCUCUUUUGUGCGGGAAGAUAAUGACGGACCG
rnacentral:rRNA from 1 species